GUUAUAGCUAUGAUAAAGAAUAGUACAUUUGAUUUUUGCUUUUUAGAGAGUUUGUGGUUGGUGAAAACAAACAAGCAAAGCUUAUGGAAUGGACUUUGGAGCAUCAAAAAUGAACUGAUUUUUUUGAUCUUAUUAGUUUUUGGCGAUUAAUCUCUCGUUAACGAGAUUCCAUGUUUUAACACAUGGUACUAAGCUGGCUAAUUUUUUAGCACUUAGGGUGGCACCGCGGAUCAAACCAUUCGUCCCUACU
rnacentral:ncRNA from 1 species